rnacentral:rRNA from 1 species
UACGGAAGGCAGCAGUGGGGAAUAUUGCACAAUGGGCGCAAGCCUGAUGCAGCCAUGCCGCGUGUAUGAAGAAGGCCUUCGGGUUGUAAAGUACUUUCAGUCGUGAGGAAGGUGUUAAGGUUAAUAACCUUAGCAAUUGACGUUAGCGACAGAAGAAGCACCGGCUAACUCCGUGCCAGCAGCCGCGGUAAUACGGAGGGUGCGAGCGUUAAUCGGAAUUACUGGGCGUAAAGGGCACGCAGGCGGUUAAUUAAGUUGGAUGUGAAAUCCCCGGGCUUAACCUGGGAAUGGCAUUCAAGACUGGUUAGCUAGAGUCUUGUAGAGGGGGUUAGAAUUCCAUGUGUAGCGGUGAAAUGCGUAGAGAUGUGGAGGAAUACCGGUGGCGAAGGGCGGCCCCUGGACAAAGCUGACGCUCA